UGGGGAAUAUUGCACAAUGGGGGAAACCCUGAUGCAGCAACGCCGCGUGAGUGAUGAAGGUCUUCGGAUUGUAAAGCUCUGUCUUUAGGGACGAUAAUGACGGUACCUAAGGAGGAAGCCACGGCUAACUACGUGCCAGCAGCCGCGGUAAUACGUAGGUGGCAAGCGUUAUCCGGAUUUACUGGGCGUAAAGGGAGCGUAGGCGGAUAUUUAAGUGGGAUGUGAAAUACCCGAGCUUAACUUGGGAGCCGCAUUCCAAACUGGAUAUCUAGAGUGCAGGAGAGGAGAAUGGAAUUCCUAGUGUAGCGGUGAAAUGCGUAGAGAUUAGGAAGAACACCAGUGGCGAAGGCGAUUCUCUGGACUGUAACUGACGCUGAGGCUCGAAAGCGUGGGGAGCAAACA
rnacentral:rRNA from 1 species